GACGAACGCUGGCGGCGUGCCUAAUACAUGCAAGUAGAACGCUGAAGGAGGAGCUUGCUCUUCUGGAUGAGUUGCGAACGGGUGAGUAACGCGUAGGUAACCUGCCUUGUAGCGGGGGAUAACUAUUCGAAACGAUAGCUAAUACCGCAUAAGAGUAGAUGUUGCAUUACAUUUGCUUAAAAGGUGCAAUUGUAUCAUUACUAGAUGGACCUGCGUUGUAUUAGCUAGUUGGUGGGGUAACGGCUCACCAAGGCGACGAUACAUAGGCGGCCUGAGAGGGGGAUCGGCCACACUGGGACUGAGACACGGCCCAGACUCCUACGGGAGGGAGCAGUAGGGGAUCUUCGGCAAAGGGCGGAAGGCUGACCGAGGAACGCCGGGUGAGUGAAGGAGGUUGUCGGAUCGGAAAGCUCUGUUGUAAGAGAAGGACGAGUGUGAGAGUGGAAAGUUCACACUGUGACGGUAUCUUACCAGAAAGGGACGGCUAACUACGUG
rnacentral:rRNA from 1 species